rnacentral:rRNA from 1 species
UUCUAGCGUAGUAAGUGUUGCACAAUAAACUUAAUGAAUUUUGGCGGUUUUAAUUAUCUCAUCAGAGGAAUUUGUUCUUUAAUCGAUAAUCCACGUUCCAAUUUACCUUUCUAUGUGGUUUGAAUAUCGCUGUCAUUAUAUUUUAGUUAUAGAAUAUUUGAUAUUACGAAAUUAAAAAAACAAGUCAAGGUUCAGCUUAUUGAGGUUUGUAAUGAAUUACUAUAUUUUCGUAUAUUGUUUGUCUUUUCGAAUUGUUUAGGUUUAAUAUUGGAUUUGAUAGUAAUUAUUGAUUAGUUUGCUAUAAUGAAUUGAGUUUAUUAAAAUGU